rnacentral:lncRNA from 1 species
AUCUGACCCACAAAAGAAGAAGCAAACAGAGAGGAGACGAGUAACUCAGGAAAAAGAGGAAGGCAUGUGUGUGAUCUUGGCAACAACCUGUUUUCAAGAGAACCAAGCGGAGCACAUAGAGAACACGACAGAACACAGGCCUUUCCCCAUGUCGACUGAAAGAGAGAGCAGGAGAAAGUGACUGAGCAGCUCUCCAGCACAAGGCAGACAAGGAUUGGAGACAUGGAUGGAGAGGGCCCCUCAACCUGCUGUCACCUUAUCUCUUCAUGGUUGCCAAAAAGAUGUUGCCAGGUCAUGAUCUCAGUUGUGAGAUGGAGCCCCAAGUCAGGUUUCUCACUGGACAUGGAACCUGCUGAUGAUUCUAUCCCUCAGAAAAAAGGAAGGAAGGAAGGAAGGAAGGAAGGAAGGAAGGAAGGAAGAAGGAAGGAAGGAAGAAGAAAGAAAGGAAAAGAAAAAAGAAAAGAAGAGAAAAGAAAGAAAAAAAAGAAAAGAAAAGAAAAGAAAAGAAAAGAAAAGAAAAGAAAAGAAAAGAAAAGAAAAGAAAAGAAAAGAAAAGAAAUGUGA